rnacentral:lncRNA from 1 species
UGAGUCACGUAGAACAUGCCAAAUCAGCCCACCGCAGACAGGCAGGUCUGCAGACAUAGUACCAAGGUCACAAGUCAUGCAGAACACACUGAAUCAGCCUGCACCCUGGCAGUGAUCCACUGGAGAUCCCCCCCUGCUCCUCUGGCCUCUUCUCUGUACAGCCACCUGGUUCCACACUACAAAGAUGCAGAGGACACCGGACCACCGCACCACUGUACUGGGAAUCUGUCAGAGCUUAUUCCUUUCUUUGAAGAAAUGCCUAAAGAAUGUCAGUUCAGUCUGGCUACAUUUAGGCAUCAUGUGGAAGACUGUGGAUGCCUUCAAGAAAAAGAGACACAUUCUGAAAAAUGCAAUUUAAGGGUUAUCAAAAGGAAGUAUUUUGGCUUUCUGUGAC